rnacentral:rRNA from 1 species
UACGUAGGGGGCUAGCGUUGUCCGGAAUCAUUGGGCGUAAAGAGCGUGUAGGCGGCCCGGUAAGUCCGCUGUAAAAGUCAAAGGCUCAACCUUUGAAUGUCAGUGGAUACUGCCGGGCUAGAGUCCGGAAGAGGCGAGUGGAACUCCUGGUGUAGCGGUGGAAUGCGCAGAUAUCUGGAGGAACACCGGUGGCGAAGGCGGCAUCCUGGACCGGCAUUGACGCUGAGGCGCGAAAGCCAGGGGAGCAAACGGG